rnacentral:rRNA from 1 species
GUCUACGGCCAUGCCACCGUGAAUGUGCCUGAUCUCGUCUGAUCUCAGAAGCUAAGCAGGGUCAGGCCUGGUUUAGUACUUGAAUGGGAGACCACCUAGGAAUUCCAGGUGCUGUCGGCG